ACUUGGCUGGCUCAGUUGGUAGAGCAUGUGACUCUUGGUCUCAGGGUCAUGAGUUCAGGCCCCCAUGUUGGGUG
rfam:Mustela putorius furo unplaced genomic scaffold scaffold00233, whole genome shotgun sequence.